UAUAUCUGCUUCUUCAGUAGAGUAUUUAUGACAAAAGAUAUAGACAGACAUUUUUUAGGAACUGAUUUUGUAAACAUUUACACAUUACAUUUUUUUGUUUAUUUUUUUCCAUAUAUAAUAAAGAAGCUGAAACUUCUCUAUAGGAGACAAACAGGAGACCAGUCUUAAACCAGCUAAUGGAAACUAGUGUUCUCAGGCCUAAAAAAAAUUUUUUAUAUAAAGUCUUCAGCAACCACUUUUGAUGCUGAAUGCAUGUGCAACAAUCAUCACCUGCUCCUGCAUCACUUCUAACAGGCUGUAUUUACCUCUGUUUCCAAAACAGCUAAUCUUGAUGAUUCCUCGUAUCUUUUUCUAUUUUCCUUCUCCACAGGUGAAAUGCAUGAAGAACAGCAAAGUUCAUUGACUGGGAGUGGGAGGAAGCCUCCAUGCAAUGUGUUGGCUGCUGGCUCCUCAGCUGGAAUAGGGGUCUCUUGGACAGUGACAUGUCUAACAGCAGUGAAGACAAAAUGUAAAAUCUAGCUCUUACAGCUACCCCUUACGCCUUACUCAGAGACAAAUAGGCUUUGGUUCAGCAAAGCACUUAAACAUGUGCCUGGUCUCAAUCCCAUCAAGUAGUCUCAUGGUAGCCAAGUGAAGCAAGCAUAUGGUAAUGAAUGUGCUUAAGAGGACACAUGCACAAUUGUUUUGCCUAUAAGCACGCAGGAUAGAGGCAAGUAUGUAUCAAUUUCUGUUUCAAUGCAUAAUGUUCUUCUGUUUUCUAUCAUCCUUAGGUUCUUUAAUCAUCCAUUUAAAAAUAGCAUUUUUAAAAAUUAAAGUAUGUUACAGGAAUAUGAGCUCAGACUGCUGCCAAGUCAGUUUCAAUUAAA